UCCGAAGGGGGCUAUCGUUGUUCGGAUUUACUGGGCGUAAAGCGCGUGUAGGCGGAUCGUUAAGUCGGGGGUGAAAGCCCAGAGCUCAACUCUGGAAUUGCCUUCGAUACUGGCGGUCUGGAGCAGAGAAGAGGCGAGUGGAAUUCCGAGUGUAGAGGUGAAAUUCGUAGAUAUUCGGAGGAACACCAGUGGCGAAGGCGGCUCGCUGGUCUCUUGCUGACGCUGAGACGCGAAAGCGUGGGGAGGAAACAGG
rnacentral:rRNA from 1 species